UACGUAGGGUGCAAGCGUUAAUCGGAAUUACUGGGCGUAAAGCGUGCGCAGGCGGUUUUGUAAGUCUGUCGUGAAAGCCCCGGGCUCAACCUGGGAAUUGCGAUGGAGACUGCAAGGCUUGAAUCUGGCAGAGGGGGGUAGAAUUCCACGUGUAGCAGUGAAAUGCGUAGAGAUGUGGAGGAACACCGAUGGCGAAGGCAGCCCCCUGGGUCAAGAUUGACGCUCAUGCACGAAAG
rnacentral:rRNA from 1 species